rnacentral:rRNA from 1 species
UAGCUUGCUAAUUUCAUUCUUAGUGGCGGACGGGUUAGUAACACGUGAGAUACAUACCCUUUAGACAGGAAUAGCCCAUGGAAACGUGGAUUAAUGCCUGAUAGACUCUACGGAGUAAAGGAUGCCUUCGGGUAUCGCUAAAGGAUUGGCUCGCGGCCUAUCAGCUUGUUGGUGAGGUAAAGGCUCACCAAGGCGACGACGGGUAGCUGGUCUGAGAGGACGAUCAGCAACACUGGAACUGAGACACGGUCCAGACACCUACGGGUGGCAGCAGUCGAGAAUCAUUCACAAUGGAGGCAACUCUGAUGGUGCAACGCCGCGUGGAGGAUGACGGUCCUAGGAUUGUAAACUCCUGUCAUUGGGGAGUAAGACUUAAGCGUUAAUAGCGCCUUAAGUUUGAUAGUACCCAAAGAGGAAGGGACGGCUAACUUCGUGCCAGCAGCCGCGGUAAUACGAAGGUCCCAAGCGUUGUUCGGAAUAACUGGGCGUAAAGCGUGUGUAGGCUGCGCGGAAAGUCAAAUGUGAAAGCC